AAAUUGAAGAGUUUGAUCAUGGCUCAGAUUGAACGCUGGCGGCAGGCCUAACACAUGCAAGUCGAACGGUAACAGGAAGCAGCUUGCUGCUUCGCUGACGAGUGGCGGACGGGUGAGUAAUGUCUGGGAAACUGCCUGAUGGAGGGGGAUAACUACUGGAAACGGUAGCUAAUACCGCAUAACGUCGAAAGACCAAAGAGGGGGACCUUCGGGCCUCUUGCCAUCGGAUGUGCCCAGAUGGGAUUAGCUUGUUGGUGGGGUAACGGCUCACC
rnacentral:rRNA from 1 species